CCCAAGUCAGAUGUCACCCCGGGAACUGGGGCUAAUCCCAGAUAGAUGAAGACCCCUGGAACGGGUCCUCGUCCAAAAGGCACCAUGGUUAUGCUCUGUGGUGUCGCUCAAGGAUGGGGCCGCGUCCGAUCAGGCUGUUGGUGAGGCAAUGGCUCACCAAACCUAUAACCGGUACGGGCCGUGGGAGCGGGAGCCCGGAGAUGGGAACUGAGACAAGGUCCCAGGCCCUACGGGGCGCAGCAGUUACGAAAACUUGUCAAUGCACGAAAGUGUGAACGGGCUACCCCGAGUGCCGUCCGCUGAGGAUGGCUUUUCUCUGCUGUAAGAAGGCGGAGGAAUAAGGCGAGGGCAAGUCUGGUGUCAGCCGCCGCGGUAAUACCAGCUCGCCGAGUGGUAGGGAUGAUUAUUGGGCCUAAAGCGUCCGUAGCCGGCCUUUCAAGUCUCUUGUUAAAUCCAACGAUUCAAUCGCUGGACUGCAGGAGAUACUGUCAGGCUGGGGGGCGGGAGAAGCCGACGGUAUUUUCGGGGUAGGGGUAAAAUCCUAUAAUCCCGGGAAGACCACCAGUGGCGUAGGCGGUCGGCUAGCACGCGCUCGACGGUGAGGGACGAAAGCUGGGGGAGCGAACCGGAUUAGAUACCCGGGUAGUCUCAGCUGUAAACGAUGCUGGCUAGGUGUUGAAGCGGCUACGAGCCGCUUCAGUGCCGCAGGGAAGCCAUUAAGCCAGCCGCCUGGGGAGUACGGCCGCAAGGCUGAAACUUAAAGGAAUUGGCGGGGGAGCAC
rnacentral:rRNA from 1 species